rnacentral:rRNA from 1 species
GAUGAAUGCUAGCGGCGUGCCUAAGAUAUGCAAGUCGAACGGACCAAAACACUUGUUAUGAAGCAGCUUGCUGUGAAUUAACGCCGUUUUGGUUAGUGGCGAACGGCUGAGUAACACGUAGGAAUCUACCCUUAACUUGGGAAUAACUUGGAGAAAUCCUUGCUAAUACCCAAUAGCCUGACACCCUUUGGGGCUGUCAGUAAAGAUUUAUCGGUUAAGGAUGAGCCUGCGGACUAUCAGGUAGUUGGUAGGGUAAUUGCCUACCAAGCCUAUGACGGUUAUCGGGUCUUAGCGGAUGUACCGGCAGAGGGGCACUGAGACACGGGCCCC